rnacentral:rRNA from 1 species
UACGUAGGGGGCCAGCGUUGUCCGAAGUUACUGGGCGUAAAGAGCGCGUAGGCGGGCCCUUAAGUGGGGGGUGAAAGGUUGGGGCUCAACCCCAACACUGCCUUUCAUCACUGGGGGCCUUGAGUGCGGGAGAGGCGAGUGGAAUGGUCGGUGUAGCGGUGAAAUGCGCAGAUAUCAGGAGGAACACCGGUGGCGAAGGCGGGUCUCUGGGCCGAUGACUGACACUGAGAGACGAAAGCUUAGGGGGAGCGAACAGGAAUUGAGAAACCC